rnacentral:rRNA from 1 species
GACGAACGCUGGCGGCGUGCUUAACACAUGCAAGUCGAACGGAAAGGCCCUGCUUGUGUGGGGUGCUCGAGUGGCGAACGGGUGAGUAACACGUGAGUAACCUGCCCUUGACUUUGGGAUAACUUCAGGAAACUGGGGCUAAUACCGGAUAGGAGCUCCCGCUGCAUGGUGGGGGUUGGAAAGUUUCGGCGGUUGGGGAUGGACUCGCGGCUUACCAGCUUGUUGGUGGGGUAGUGGCUUACCAAGGCUUUGACGGGUAGCCGGCCUGAGAGGGUGACCGGCCACAUGGGGACUGAGGGACGGCCCAGACGCGUACGGGAGGCAGCAGUGGGGAAUAUUGCACAAUGGGCGGAAGCCUGAUGCGGCAACGCCGCGUGCGGGAUGACGGCCUUCGGGUUGUAAACCGCUUUCGCCUGUGACGAAGCGUGAGUGACGGUAAUGGGUAAAGAAGCACCGGCUAACUACGUG